AACGUAGGAUGCAAGCGUUAUCCGGAUUUACUGGGCGUAAAGCGCGUGUAGGCGGCCUUGUAAGUCCGUUCUGAAAGCCCGGGGCUCAACCCCGGGAGGCGGAUGGAUACUGCAAGGCUCGAGUACGGGAGAGGCGAGUGGAAUUCCCGGUGUAGCGGUGAAAUGCGCAGAUAUCGGGAGGAACACCAAUGGCGAAGGCAGCUCGCUGGGACGUUACUGACGCUGAGACGCGAAAGCGUGGGGAGCAAACAGG
rnacentral:rRNA from 1 species